GGUGCUGGGGCAGGAACUGGGUUUGGACCUGGUGGCCAAACAUUAGGAAAACAAAAGCCUUCCAAGUCUGGUUAUGUUGGACCUGGUUAUGGAACAGUAGGAAGCUUAGGAGGAGCAGCUGGUCUUGGAGGAGCAGG